GUGUGUGGCGCGUUGGAAGGCCGCGAAGACGCAGUCAAGGAACGUGUGGGCAUCGAGCUGCAGCCGAAAAUCAACUGCAGCGUGUUAAGGUAAGUGUAGUGUGUUCUGCUUAUAUGCUUCUUCGUCUGUUUACAUGCUUCGUUCGUGCAGCACGUGUUCUGUGAGGCACAUAGCUCACGAGAAGCACGCUAGUUCUCAAGCGUAAUGUACUACACGCUCCGACGGCCGUGGGCGCGAGACUGCCGUUUAGAGACGUGCUUCUGCGUAAAGCGGAAAAGCGGAAACCACACAACCGCGAUCUUUCGCGCGUGACUCGCGGCCUCAUGGUUCAGCCACGUGCAGCGAUUUUCAGGGGCUGCCUGCACCCACGUGUAAAAAAAAAAAAAAAAAAUCUUCAUGUGAGGGACACUGAAGCGUACGAAGAGAAUUGGCGCACGUUAAUUGAAGAGAGUAGAAGAAAGUCGUUUUUAGUGCCCCUAUCAUGCAGGCACAUAUAUCCCGAUCGAGUCUGACUUUCGAUCACUGCUACGCGGGCCAAGGAUCUAAAACGAGUUGGUCGAGCUCUGGCGCGCUAUGCGUCGCUGUUUAAAUGCAGAACACCUGAUGAAUGUGCUUAAUAGGCAGUAAAAGUAGUUGUAAUUACCAUUCUUUACAUUUUCAUUUGUUAUUCAGGCUAAGACAUGUGCUAUGACUACCAGAUUCGUAAAAUUAUGCGUCAAUAAAACCAGACUACUUUUCGUGCACUGUUGUUUAGAUCAGCCUUUUCUGCGUUAUUUCUUACGCUCUUUAUUUCUUUUCUUUUUUCUCUCCUCGCUUCCUGGCACACCGAGUUAUGGGGAGCAUACGUCGGUGUCCGGUGGCGAUAGGACAGCUCGAUCCUGUUGCGGACGUGGCGUACCCUCCCGACUGCCCCCUCACCAUGGAGUUUUUGCAGAGGUACCUUGGGCAGAUCAACCCAACGAAAGGGCGCGGCAAAGGCAGGGCCGGCGGAAUCGCGCCAAGGUUACUCAGCCUGCUGAAAGCACUUUAAUUUAUGAAUAAAUGUGCAAGUAGAGAUGUA